CUAAAUUUUAAACACAGCCUCUCUCUCUCGGAUUCUCUCUCCUCUCUCUCGAUUCUCCCUCUUUCUCUUUCCUCUCUCUCGCGUCUCAGCUCUGCCACCCCUGACGGCCACCAUGCCAGCCUCCAUCUCAGCCAUGCGCCACCCCAGAAGAUGCAGGACGUCAUCGACCUCUGACCUUCGCGAGCUCCGACCCUCAUGCGCGACCUAACUCUCCCAACGAAGCCCUUAAAGCUGCAGCGGUAUCAUGCACUCUGAGCUAGUUCAUGCCUUUUUCGGUGAUCUCCGGCGUUGUCUGGGGCAGUGGGUGGUAUGGUUGAGUUUAGGGAGUCAAGAUUACUAAUACCCAGCCAUGGAUCGACCUUAAGAGUCAUCGGAGUUGAGGGAGAAGUUCGUCGGAAUCCAUGGAGAUCCGAGACUUUCCGGCUUCGAUCCGGCCAACUCAAGCCUCCCCGAGCCAAACAGUCACAACCAUUAGCUUCCUUGUGGGUCUCGGCCAGCUGCCAUUUUUGGUGUUCCGGAUUUUGUCUCGAGGUCCAAAGCUCACCAUUGAACCUAUUUUGAACAACCGAGUGUAUCGGUUUUUAAAAUUUGGGGAUGUACUAAUUGUAGUCGUUAUGCUACCCGAUUUUCUAAAAAAUUAACGGACUAGUAUCGAGUUUAUUACAUAAAAGUUGUUUGUUAUUGUAGAAUUAAUUAGAAUAGUGGUUUCUAAAGAUCGUCAAUUUAAGUUAUGAAUAUGAAACUUUGAGUUUGUAUUUUAAUAUUGCUUGACGCUAGAAAGUUAUUUUACUAGAAUUUUUAUGAGCAAUAUGUUAUUAUGAGUCGUUAGAGCGGCUUUCAUGAUAGUGUCAAAGUUUUUAUCAAAGGAAAACUAAGGUUUUGGAUUUUGAAAGAAAGGGCAAUUUAUGAUUUUGAAAUAAUUGACGAAAUUUUAUAGCUGGGUCAUAAUUUUUACAAAAACGAAGUUUCUAUUUAUGAUUUGUUGAUGCAGUUUUUUGCCAAGUGGAUUAAGAAAUCCAAUAAUAGAGAUAUUAGGUUUUUUUUUUUUUACCAAUAUUGAAUAAAUGAAAAAUAUCACAUACACUCACAUUUUUUUUAUGUGGUUCAGUGGUUAAAAUUCACUUAAUCUACGAGACAAUCAUAUUAAUCUAUUUAGGUCUCUAGAAGAAAUUGUUAAUGAUAAUUUUAGCAUAGUUUUAGUAUAUGGAGAGUCGGUCCAUUUUUUUGUCAAUUCUCUUGGUAUUUAUAAAGAAAUCUUCUGGACAGUUUUGGGAACCGCGUACAUAAACAUAGUAAAUAAUAAAUUUGUGUAAUUUCUCAUUUACACGAGGAUAUGAUUGUCUAUAGAAUUUACAUCGGGUAAUAGAUGUGUAAUAAAAUAUGGGUCUUUAUGAGGUGUAUAAGGAUUCUCCUAGUCUUUUGGGAUGCUUCACUGUGCAUCAUGACCAGGUUUUCGCAAGCAGAACACUUCCUUCAAGAUGAAUGUCAAAGAACUAAACUAUCUUGACACAGGCCAAAUUCAGAGUUUCUAGAAGGCGAUCUAGCCAACCCUCACCUCGAACUAGAUGGUUGGCGCAAGAGGCGAUCUAGAGACUAUCUAGUUGUUGUAAGCUGUCAAGUUUUACUCGAGCUGCACACUCUAGAGUUUGCUAGAUGUUCUAUCCACAUGCUUUCAUCAUGCGCUUGUCUGCCAAUUGUACCUCGUGUUGAGUAAUUCAGCUCGUAUUUAUUUUGGGGGUACAACAUAAUUAUUAUGAAUUAUGAAUUAAUAAGUGAUUAAUUCCCAAAAAUUAUUGAUGAAAGGACUUGAGCUACUUAACGAAAAUCAUCUAGAGUUUAAGGGGCAAUUUAUGAAGACCAAUCGAGUAAUUAAAAAUAAUUUAGUAUAUAGAUGUAUUUUUGUACAAAGGAUUUAUGAAAGGAAUUUACUAUUAUUAUUAAAAU